GAUGAACGCUGGCGGCGUGCCUAAUACAUGCAAGUCGAGCGAACAGAUGAGGAGCUUGCUCCUCUGACGUUAGCGGCGGACGGGUGAGUAACACGUGGAUACCCUACCUAUAAGACUGGGAUAACUUCGGGAAACCGGAGCUAAUACCGGAUAAUAUAUUGAACCGCAUGGUUCAAUAGUGAAAGCCGGUUUUGCUGUCACUUAUAGAUGGAUCCGCGCCGCAUUAGCUAGUUGGUAAGGUAACGGCUUACCAAGGCAACGAUGCGUAGCCGACCUGAGAGGAUGAUCGGCCACACUGGAACUGAGACACGGUCCAGACUCCUACGGGAGGCAGCAGUAGGGAAUCUUCCGCAAUGGGCGAAAGCCUGACGGAGCAACGCCGCGUGAGUGAUGAAGGUCUUCGGAUCGUAAAACUCUGUUAGUAGGGAAGAACAAAUGUGUAAGUAACUAUGCACGUCUUGACGGUACCUAAUCAGAAAGCCACGGCUAACUACGUG
rnacentral:rRNA from 1 species